GGAACACCAAUGGCGAAGGCAGCUUACUGGACAGUAUCUGACGCUGAGGAACGAAAGCGUGGGGAGCGAAAGGGAUUAGAUACCCCUGUAGUCCACGCCGUAAACGUUGAGUACUCGCUCUUGGGAGAUUCGACCCUCUCAGGGGCUAAGCUAACGCGAUAAGUACUCCGCCUGAGGACUACGGCCGCAAGGCUAAAACUCAAAGGAAUUGACGGGUCCCCGCACAAGCGGUGGAGCAUGUGGCUUAAUUCGAUGCAACGCGAAGAACCUUACCAGGCCUUGACAUGUCGUGGACCGGGGCAGAGAUGCCCUUUCUCUUCGGAGCCGCGUCACAGGUGCUGCAUGGCUGUCGUCAGCUCGUGUCGUGAGAUGUUCGGUUAAGUCCGUCAACGAGCGCAACCCCUGUCCUUAGUUGCCAGCAUUCAGUUGGGGACUCUAGGGAGACUACCUGCUUUGCGCAGGGGGAAGGUGGGGAUGAUGUCAAGUCAGUAUGGCCCUUACGGCCUGGGCUGCACACGUGCUACAAUGCCCGGUACAAUGGGUAGCUACCUCGCGAGAGGAUGCUAAUCUCCAAAGCCGGGCUCAGUUCGGAUUGGAGUCUGCAACUCGACUCCAUGAAGUUGGAAUCGCUAGUAAUGGCGCAUCAGCAACGGCGCCGUGAAUACGUUCCCGGGGAUUGUACGCACCGCCCGUCACAUCAUGAAAGCCGGUCUUGCCCGAAGUACGUGAGCUAACUUCGGAGGCAGCGUCCGACGGUGAGGCUGGUGAUUGGGAUGAAGUCGUAACAAGGUAGCCGUAGGGGAACCUGCGGCUGGAUCACCU
rnacentral:rRNA from 1 species